UACGAAGGGGGCUAGCGUUGCUCGGAAUCACUGGGCGUAAAGGGUGCGUAGGCGGGUCUUUUAAGUCAGGGGUGAAAUCCUGGAGCUCAACUCCAGAACUGCCUUUGAUACUGAAGGAUCUUGAGUUCGGGAGAGGUGAGUGGAACUGCGAGUGUAGAGGUGAAAUUCGUAGAUAUUCGCAAGAACACCAGUGGCGAAGGCGGCUCACUGGCCCGAUACUGACGCUGAGGCACGAAAGCGUGGGGAGCAAACAGGAUUAGAA
rnacentral:rRNA from 1 species